rnacentral:tRNA from 1 species
AUCUAGAUAGCUUAACUUAAAGCACAUCUCUGAAGAAGAUAAGAUGAAACUCUCUCUAGAUA